UGGAGAACGGACUUGUGGAGUACAUGAACUUAUAUGUAUAAGAAAAGUAUCCCCAGAGGCAGUUGGGUUCCUGUCAGCUGUUGGAGUUAUUUUAUUCCUCAUGGUGAUGCUUUUUUGGUACGUAAACAAGAAGCUUCAUACCAACCAUGCUGGAGGGUUUCCAUGUCUUGACUCGGACUAUAAGGCAAAGAAGGACAUGCAAG